UACGUAGGUGGCAAGCGUUGUCCGGAAUUAUUGGGCGUAAAGCGCGCGCAGGCGGUCCUAUAAGUCUGAUGUGAAAGCCCCCGGCUCAACUGGGGAGGGUCACGCGAUACUGCUCGACUCGAAGGCAGGAGAGGGAAGUGGAAUUCCCGGUGUAGUGGUGAAAUGCGUAGAUAUCGGGAGGAACACCAGUGGCGAAGGCGACUUCCUGGCCUGUUCUUGACGCUGAGGCGCGAAAGCUAGGGUAGGCAAACGGGG
rnacentral:rRNA from 1 species